GGCUCCGCAGCUCAGCUGGUAGAGCGCUCGCUGCGUUCUGGGCAAAGUAAUUCUGUCGCUGGUUCGAAUCCAGCCGAACCCC